ACAAGGUUGACCUCGGAUCAGGUAGGGAUACCCGCUGAACUUAAGCAUAUCAAUAAGCGGAGGAAAAGAAACCAACAGGGAUUGCCUCAGUAACGGCGAGUGAAGCGGCAACAGCUCAAAUUUGAAAUCUGGCCUCUUUGGGGCCCGAGUUGUAAUUUGUAGAGGAUGUUUCGGGUACCCCUCGGUUUAAAUUUCUUGGAACAGAAUGUCAUAGAGGGUGAGAAUCCCGUCUUGGACCGGUGGUAGGGCCUAUGUGAAACUCCUUCGAUGAGUCGAGUUGUUUGGGAAUGCAGCUCAAAAUGGGUGGUAAAUUUCAUCUAAAGCUAAAUAUUGGCCAGAGACCGAUAGCGCACAAGUAGAGUGAUCGAAAGAUGAAAAGAACUUUGAAAAGAGAGUUAAACAGUAUGUGAAAUUGUUGAAAGGGAAGCGCUUGCAACCAGACUUGAGCGCGGCGGUUCCCCCUUCCUUUUGGUUGGGUUACUCCGUCGUGUCCAGGCCAACAUCGGUUCUAGGGGUCGGUUAAAGGCCUAGGGAAUGUAUCUACCCCUUCGGGGGUAGACUUAUAGCCCUGGGUGUCAUGCGGCCACCUGGGACCGAGGAACGCGCUUCGGCUCGGAUGUUGGCGUAAUGGUUGUCAGCGACCCGUCUUGAAACACGGACCAAGGAGUCUAACAUCUAUGCGAGUGUUUGGGUGUCAAACCCGGAACGCGGAAUGAAAGUGAACGGAGGUAGGAAGCCUUUAGGCUGCACUAUCGACCGAUCCUGAUGUCUUCGGAUGGAUUUGAGUAAGAGCAUAGCUGUUGGGACCCGAAAGAUGGUGAACUAUGCCUGAAUAGGGUGAAGCCAGAGGAAACUCUGGUGGAGGCUCGCAGCGGUUCUGACGUGCAAAUCGAUCGUCAAAUUUGGGUAUAGGGGCGAAAGACUAAUCGAACCAU
rnacentral:rRNA from 1 species